GAAGAAUCUAGGCAGUAGACUUUUAAAUUCCAGCCGGUUCAGGCCUCUUCGUAUAGAACUGGAAAAGAAAUAAUCAAACAAGAUCGGAUGGCGAAUUCUCAAACGCAUAUUACCAGGGCCGGAUUUUGACGAUUUUCCGUCCGGGGCAUUUGCGACUCCACGCCUCUCUCUUCUUAUAUCAAUAUAGGAACAAUAGCUUUUAUAGCAUUGUAAGCAUUGAGCCUAUGCCAUAGACGCACAUAAUACUAUCAUUUUACAUAUCGAAUUCAUGUGCAGAUAAGACAAUAAAUAAAUCAUAAGCCAUACACUAUUUUAAUACUUAUAAGGUAA